AACCUCCGCAAUGUACGAAAGUGCGACGGGGGGAUCCCAAGUGUUAUGCUUUUUUGUAUAACUUUUCAUUAGUGUAAAAAGCUUUUGGAAUAAGAGCUGGGCAAGACCGGUGCCAGCCGCCGCGGUAACACCGGCAGCUCUAGUGGUAGCUGUUUUUAUUGGGCCUAAAGCGUUCGUAGCCGGUUUGAUAAGUCACUGGUGAAAUCCUGUAGCUUAACUGUGGGAAUUGCUGGUGAUACUGUUGAACUUGAGGUCGGGAGAGGUUAGCGGUACUCCCAGGGUAGAGGUGAAAUUCUGUAAUCCUGGGAGGACCACCUGUGGCGAAGGCGGCUAACUGGAACGAACCUGACGGUGAGGGACGAAAGCUAGGGGCGCGAACCGGAUUAGAUACCCGGGUAGUCCUAGCCGUAAACGAUGCGGACUUGGUGUUGGGAUGGCUUUGAGCCGCUCCGGUGCCGAAGGGAGCUGUUAAGUCCGCCGCCUGGGAAGUACGGUCGCAAGACUGAAACUUAAGGAAUU
rnacentral:rRNA from 1 species